AGUCUGAGAAAACAGAGGAGCAAAGAUCUUAACUUGUUCCCCAUUUUAGACCUUUUAAAGCUCUGGCAGUUUGGAUUCUCAGAGAUUCCUGAUACUAAACAAGAAUCUUAUCAUUCCAUAUAUGGAGAUCAUACUUUCUUCUUUCCUGGACUCAUUAAAGAAAGGCACUGCUAAUGAACUGUCUUAUAUAAUUAACCUAACAAAGUAACAGUUGAGUACUAAUCAAUAUCAGACAGAUGGAGGCCCAAAUGGGAAAACAAAGGAAGAGGAUGCUAUCUGGCCAAUGGAUUUGGUAGGUUUUUUUCCUUCUUCUUCUUUAAAUUAGAGGUAUAUUGUGAGAAUAUUUGAUUAACUGAUUUAUCUUACUUUUAAAUGUGC
ensembl:lncRNA